GUGGAAAACCCUCAAACAGUCUAAAUCUCAUUUUGCUGCCUCUUUCUGGUUUUCAUUGUCCUGUUGAAUGUAGUGAUUGUUAUUUCUUCUGUGUCAAAGUCUUCCACCACGUGCUGUUGCUAAGAAACACGGCUGUUGUGAGUGAUCCAAAUAAAAGAACAAAUCCCUGUUAAAUUCACUAUCAAAAACGAGGGCCUGUCUGCAUGGAAUCAGGAUUUAUUAUUUUAUUCAUGAAAUGCCCCUGUUAGAAAUUUAACUCACAUUUUAUAUGUCCUGGAUGCAGCAGCAGAUGAACUCUCUAAUGAGUGUUUGGAAGAUCCCAACUGACUCCAUCUGAAUGAACCCUCCAGAAAGGAGUCUCCAGACAUCAAGUUAAACGUGAUGAGAGAUGGACAGAGCACAGCUGGAGUCAUUCCUGGAGCAGAAGGAGGAGCUCAGGGAAGAAACUGCCACCAGCCCUGAGUUCCUCAUGAUGACAAAUUCUGGUCUUCAGCUGCCUUCCCUGAAGAAUUCCCAAUAUUUUAUCCUGAAGUGCUGCUUUUGCAGAAACUUUCUGGCCUGGUUUGUAUUUUCCUGUCAGGAUCCUUGCAUCCUCAAGGCAGAUAAACCUCAUGCCAUUUGGUCUAAAUGCAGGUGUUUGGUACCUCAGUGGUGCUUUGGUCUCUUUUUUAUUCUCUUCCAUCUGGUAAGAAAUCCUUUUGUUUUAUUUUUCUCCUUCUGUCCUCUUCUUUUAAGUAACAUUUUUAACAUUAUUUUUC
rnacentral:lncRNA from 1 species